rnacentral:rRNA from 1 species
AUGGGCGAGGAGGAACAAGACGGUACAGCAGUACAUGACCCCGAGAAGAAGAUGAACAAGGCGUCGUCUGCGAGCACUGUCCCACCGUCGUCGUCCUUGAGGGACGCGCUCUCCUCCACCUCCUCGUCGUCCCUGAGAGAGCAACAUCACGAUGAGGAGGUCGAGCUGAAAUGGGCGGCCAUCGAGAGGCUGCCCACCUGGGACAGGCUCCACACCUCGCUCCCUCUCCAUGCCAACGCCAUUCAUCCGUUGGAGCCGGUGGACGUGCGCCGGCUGGGGGCCGCGGACCGGCGGGAGCUGGUGCACACCCUCAUCACCGACAUCCACGAGGACAACCUCCGCCUGCUCCGGCACCAGCGCCGCAGGAUGGACAGGGUCGGCGUGCGGCAGCCCACGGUCGAGGUCCGAUGGCGGAACCUGCACGUCGACGCCGAGUGCCAGGUCGUCGAUGGCAAGCCGCUCCCCACGCUCCUCAACUCCGCCAUCUCCACACUCUCGCUACUCACCACCAUGCUCGGCUUCAACCGUAACCAAGAAAGGAUCCACAUCCUCAAAGAUGUCACUGGCAUCCUCAAACCUUCCAGGAUGACCCUUCUCCUUGGACCCCCAGGCUGUGGCAAAACCACCCUUUUGCUAGCACUUGCUGGAAAGCUCAACAAAAAUCUCAAGGUAACAGGUGAAAUUGACUACAAUGGUGUCAAGCUGCAAGAUUUUGUUCCAGAGAAGACAUCAGCGUACAUUGGUCAGUACGAUCUUCAUGUCCCUGAGAUGACUGUCAGGGAGACGCUCGACUUCUCUGCAAGAUUCCAGGGCGUUGGCAGCAGAGCAGAAAUCAUGAAGGAAGUCAUUAGAAGGGAGGAGGCUGGGAUCAUCCCUGACCCCAACAUAGAUACAUACAUGAAGGCAAUAUCCAUGGAUGGUUUAGAAAGAAGCAUGCAAACAGACUACAUUAUGAAGAUAAUGGGACUUGACAUAUGCGCUGAUGUACUAGUAGGAGAUGCCAUGAGAAGAGGUAUUUCAGGCGGUGAGAAGAAAAGACUAACCACAGGAGAGGUGAUAGUAGGACCAUCAAAAGCGCUCUUCAUGGAUGAAAUAUCAACUGGGCUGGACAGUUCUACCACCUUCCAAAUUGUUUCUUGUCUCCAACAGCUAGCUCAUAUAUCAGAGUCUACCAUACUGGUCUCACUCCUUCAACCAGCACCAGAGACUUACCAACUUUUUGAUGAUAUUAUCUUGAUGGCUGAAGGACAAAUCGUAUACCAUGGUCCUAAGAGCUGCAUUAUGAGUUUCUUUGAAUCUUGUGGCUUCAAGUGCCCUGGAAGAAAAGGGGAUGCUGACUUCCUUCAAGAGGUCCUAUCAAAAAAAGAUCAACAACAAUACUGGAGCCGCACCGAAGAAGGAUAUAAUUUUGUUACAGUUGACCAAUUCUGUGAUAAGUUCAAAGCAUCUCAGAGUGGUCAGAAUCUUGUUGGGGAGCUUUCAAAGCCGUAUGAUGAAUCCAAAGGACAUAAGAAUGCACUGUCCUUCAGUAUCUACUCGUUAUCCAAGUGGGAUCUCGUCAAGGCAUGUUUUGCACGGGAGCUCCUUCUUAUGAAAAGAAAUGCCUUCAUCUACAUAACAAAAGCCAUUCAGCUUGGACUAAUUGCUGCUAUUACUGGGACAGUAUUUCUGCGCACCCAUAUGGGUGUUGAUAGAAUUCAUGCUAACUAUUAUAUGAGUUCACUCUUCUUUGCGCUUCUGCUGCUGAUGGUGAAUGGUUUCCCUGAGCUGGCCAUGGCAAUUAACAGACUGCCAGUCUUCUACAAACAGAGAGACUACUACUUCUAUCCUGCAUGGGCUUAUGCAAUACCAUCUUUUAUCCUAAAGAUUCCAGUCUCUUUAGUUGAGUCAGUAGCUUGGACAUCAAUAUCCUACUACCUGAUUGGCUAUACCCCAGAAGCAUCUAGGUUUUUCUCUGAGCUCCUCAUCCUCUUCCUCAUCCACACAGUAACAUUAUCAAAGUUCCGGUGUGUUGCCUCAUACUGUCAAACGAUGGUGGUUGCUUCAAUCUGUGGCACAUUGACAUUUCUAGUCAUGCUUCUAUUUGGAGGUUUCAUAAUUCCUCGUGGCUUAACUGGAAAUGAGUUUUUGGCACCAAGAUGGUUAGAGAUCACGUUAUCUGGUGUAACACUUGGAAAGAGGGUACUAAUGGAUCAAGCACUAGACUUCUCCAGCUACUUCUACUGGAUCUCAGUUGCAGCAUUGAUUGGGUUUACUUUGUUGUUCAAUGUAGGCUUUGCCAUCGGCUUGACCAUUAAAAAUAUUCCAGGAUCUUCUCGUGCUAUUAUCUCUUGCAGUAAGCUUGCCACAUUUGGUGAAAGAAACCAAGCUAAGGAUAUGAAAAAUGGGAUGCCUAAUUUACAAGCAGAAACCGCUUUGACACCUAAUAGGACUGGGAGGAUGGUAUUUCCUGUCACACCCCUUACAAUAUUAUUUCAAGAUGUCAACUACUAUGUAGACACCCCCACAGAAAUGAGGGAGCAUGGUUAUAUGGAAAGAAAACUACAACUACUGCACAAUAUCACAGGAGCAUUUCAGCCAGGGGUUCUCUCAGCCCUUAUGGGGGUUACUGGAGCGGGAAAAACAACACUCCUUUAUGUUCUUGCUGGAAGGAAAACGGGUGGUGUUAUUGAAGGGGAUAUAAGAAUAGGAGGCUAUCCUAAGAUCCAGCAAACUUUUGCUAGGAUAUCAGGCUACUGUGAACAGACUGAUGUUCAUUCCCCACAAAUCACAGUGGGUGAAUCAGUUGCAUAUUCAGCCUGGUUGCGCCUUCCACCAGAAAUUGAUUCAAAAGCAAGAAAUGAAUUUGUAAAUGAAGUUCUUGAAACAAUUGAGUUAGAUGAAAUUAGAGAUUCUUUGGUUGGAAUACCAGGGGUAAAUGGACUAUCGACAGAGCAACGGAAACGGCUCACUAUUGCAGUUGAGCUUGUGUCUAACCCUUCAAUCAUAUUCAUGGAUGAGCCGACAUCAGGCUUGGAUGCAAGGGCAGCUGCUAUUGUCAUGCGUGCAGUCAAGAAUGUUGCAGAUACAGGUCGGACAGUCGUGUGCACCAUUCACCAACCAAGUAUCGAUAUAUUUGAGGCAUUUGAUGAGUUGAUGCUGAUGAAAAGGGGUGGAGAGUUGAUCUAUGCUGGGCUAGUUGGACAUCAUUCAUGUGAGGUCAUCCAAUAUUUCCAGGCAAUACCUGGGGUUCCCAGGAUCAAGGACAACUACAACCCAUCAACAUGGAUGCUAGAAGUUACUUCCACAUCUAUGGAAGUUCAACUGGGAGCAGAUUUUGCACAAUUGUACAGGGAAUCAUCAAUGUGCAAGGACAAGGACAUGGUGGUAAAGCGGUUAAGCAUACCAGUUCCAGGUACGACCGACCUCCAUUUUGCGACACGGUUUCCACAGAAGUUUCAGGAGCAAUUCAAAGCUUGCCUCUGGAAGCAGUGUUUGUCGUAUUGGAGAACCCCUUCCUACAACCUGGUGCGAUUUGUGUUCAUAACAUUAUCCUGCAUUUUCUUUGGUGCACUGUUCUGGCAACAAGGCAACAUCAACCACAUGUAUGUAAACCAAAACGACCAGCAAAGUCUCUUCACCAUAUUGGGGUGCAUGUAUGGAAUCACUCUGUUCGCUGGCAUCAACAACUGUCAAUCGGUGAUGCCAUUUAUCUCCGUGGAGCGCUCUGUCGUUUACAGGGAGAGAUUUGCAAGGAUGUACUCUCCUUGGGCCUACUCUUUUGCGCAGGUUGCCAUGGAGAUACCUUAUGUGCUGAUGCAGGUGGUGCUGUUCAUGUUGAUAGCAUAUCCGAUGAUAGGGUACGCGUGGACAGCAGCGAAGUUCUUUUGGUUUAUGUACACCAUGUUUUGCACACUGCUCUGCUUCGUCUACAUGGGAAUGGUGGUGGUGUCGUUCACCCCCAACAUCCAAUUUGCAUCCGUACUUUCAUCUAUGUUCUACACCCUACAAAACCUCAUGUCUGGCUUCAUCGUGCCUGCGCCUCAAAUACCGAGAUGGUGGAUAUGGUUCUACUACGUCUCCCCAAUGUCGUGGGAGCUAAGGGUCUUAUUCACCACGCAGUUCGGGGAUUACGACGACAGGAUGAUCGAUGUAUUUGGAGAGACCAAAUCGGUCCCAGCAUUCAUGAAGGACUACUUUGGUUUUCGGCGUGAUUUGCUGCCGCUGGCGGCUGUUGUUCUGGCGGCAUUCCCCAUCCUUCUUGCCGUUCUCUUCGGUUACAACAUCUCAAAGCUCAAUUUCCAAAGGCGAUAG